rnacentral:rRNA from 1 species
ACAUGCAGUCGAGCGCGGGAAGCAAGCGGAUCCCCUUCGGGGGUGAAGCUUGUGGAACGAGCGGCGGACGGGUGAGUAACACGUGGGCAACCUGCCUGUAAGACCGGAAUAACCCCGGGAAACCGGGGCUAAUGCCGGGUAACACCUACCUUCGCAUGAAGGAAGGUUAAAAGAUGGCUUCUCGCUAUCACUUACAGAUGGGCCCGCGGCGCAUUAGCUAGUUGGUGAGGUAACAGCUCACCAAGGCGACGAUGCGUAGCCGACCUGAGAGGGUGAUCGGCCACACUGGGACUGAGACACGGCCCAGACUCCUACGGGAGGCAGCAGUAGGGAAUCUUCCGCAAUGGACGAAAGUCUGACGGAGCAACGCCGCGUGAACGAUGAAGGUCUUCGGAUCGUAAAGUUCUGUUGUUAGGGAAGAACAAGUACCGUGCGAAUAGAGCGGUACCUUGACGGUACCUAACGAGGAAGCCCCGGCUAACUACGUGCCAGCAGCCGCGGUAAUACGUAGGGGGCAAGCGUUGUCCGGAAUUAUUGGGCGUAAAGCGCGCGCAGGCGGUUUCUUAAGUCUGAUGUGAAAGCCCACGGCUCAACCGUGGAGGGUCAUUGGAAACUGGGGAACUUGAGGACAGAAGAGGAGAGUGGAAUUCCACGUGUAGCGGUGAAAUGCGUAGAUAUGUGGAGGAACACCAGUGGCGAAGGCGACUCUCUGGUCUGUUUCUGACGCUGAGGUGCGAAAGCGUGGGUAGCAAACAGGAUUAGAUACCCUGGUAGUCCACGCCGUAAACGAUGAGUGCUAGGUGUUAGGGGGCUUCCACCCCUUAGUGCUGAAGUUAACGCAUUAAGCACUCCGCCUGGGGAGUACGGCCGCAAGGCUGAAACUCAAAGGAAUUGACGGGGCCCGCACAAGCGGGUGGAGCAUGUGGUUUAAUUCGAAGCAACGCGAAGAACCUUACCAGUCUUGAC